rnacentral:tRNA from 1 species
GGGCCUGUGGCGCAAUGGAUAGCGCAUUCGGCUUCGGACCGAACGGUUGGGGGUUCGAGUCCCUCCAGGCCCG